rnacentral:misc_RNA from 1 species
GAUGAAGAACGUAGCGAAAUGCGAUAAGUAAUGUGAAUUGCAGAAUUCAGUGAAUCAUCGAAUCUUUGAACGCACAUUGCGCCCUCUGGUAUUCCGGGGGGCAUGCCUGUUCGAGCGUCAUUAUAACCACUCAAGCUCUCGCUUGGUAUUGGGGUUCGCGGUUUCGCGGCCCCUAAAAUCAGUGGCGGUGCCUGUCGGCUCUACGCGUAGUAAUACUUCUCGCGAUUGAGUUCGAUAGGUCUACUUGCCAGUAACCCCCAAAUUUUACAGGUUGACCUCGGAUCAGGUAGGGAUACCCGCUGAACUUAAGCAUAUCAAUAAGCGGAGGA